AUUUUUGUUCCUAUGCUUACUUUGAUUCGUUGGGUUUGAUGCCACAUCAUUUAUAUCAAAAUGUAAGAGAAAUUUACCCUUUUAGUGCACGUGACAACUUCCAAAAUUAAAUUCUACAUCACUGAGCACUAAGAACAAUAAGUUCAAAAACAAAAAUGUGCUGCAUACAAUGGUUUGAUUUCAAAAUUUCUGUUGUGCUUUCAUCAUACUUAUAAUUGAGCAUCUCUGAGUUGAUGCAAGAUUUCAACUGGCUGCCACAAUCACAUCACUGUUAUGCUAAUGCAUCCAAAAAAGAUGCUGUUGGUUUUGUUUCUGUCAGGUAUGAUCACAUGUGCAGAAGCUGUUACUAUAAUUUAAAGCAAAGGCUUCCUACACUUGAACUGCCUUAUCAUCUACAUGGUUGAAUGUGAAGGCCUCGGCCCAACCACGAAGAUUCAAUGAAAAAAUACAAGGCUUCUUCAUUUGUUACUAUGUUUAUUAUGGCACUGAAAAGGCUAAUUUGAAAUAAAAGAAAAUAAAAUAAAGUAGCAUGCAUGUUCAUCAAUGGAAAUUCCAUCACUGAAAAGCCGUAAAGAAGACGCUCCAACCUGAAAGAAUCCUAAAAUUUCUGGCAAGAGAUCAAAGAUUUGAGUCCUGGAUUUGAACUAGAAAGGGUUUGGAGGGCUAAGAAUGUGUACUUCUUUAGGCAGAGGAGAGGAAAUAGAACAAAUCUUUACACAAUAAUGUUGCACAAUGAAAAUUUUUAUAUUUCCCUUCCCAAAUUGAGUGCUAUGUUCUAAGUUCGUAUUUUGACACUGCUAAGGACA
rnacentral:misc_RNA from 1 species